rnacentral:tRNA from 1 species
UCCUCCGUAGUUCAAUAGCAGAACAACGACCUUUUAAGUCGUGAGAUGCGAGUGCAAAUCUCGCCGGGGGAA